rnacentral:rRNA from 1 species
UACGGAGGGUGCGAGCGUUGUCCGGAAUCAUUGGGCGUAAAGCGCACGUAGGCGGCUUCUUAAGUCAGGGGUGAAAUCCUGGAGCUCAACUCCAGAACUGCCUUUGAUACUGAGGAGCUUGAGUCCGGGAGAGGUGAGUGGAACUGCGAGUGUAGAGGUGAAAUUCGUAGAUAUUCGCAAGAACACCAGUGGCGAAGGCGGCUCACUGGCCCGGUACUGACGCUGAGGUGCGAAAGCGUGGGGAGCAAACAGG